rnacentral:rRNA from 1 species
UGAACGCUGGCGGCGUGCCUAAUACAUGCAAGUCGAGCGAACAGACGAGGAGCUUGCUCCUUUGACGUUAGCGGCGGACGGGUGAGUAACACGUGGAUAACCUACCUAUAAGACUGGGAUAACUUCGGGAAACCGGAGCUAGUACCGGAUAACAUGUUGAACCGCAUGGUUCAACAGUGAAAGACGGUCUUGCUGUCACUUAUAGAUGGAUCCGCGCCGCAUUAGCUAGUUGGUAAGGUAACGGCUUACCAAGGCAACGAUGCGUAGCCGACCUGAGAGGGUGAUCGGCCACACUGGAACUGAGACACGGUCCAGACUCCUACGGGAGGCAGCAGUAGGGAAUCUUCCGCAAUGGGCGAAAGCCUGACGGAGCAACGCCGCGUGAGUGAAGAAGGUCUUCGGAUCGUAAAACUCUGUUAUUAGGGAAGAACAAAUGUGUAAGUAACUAUGCACGUCUUGACGGUACCUAAUCAGAAAGCCACGGCUAACUACGUG